CGCCUUUGUCGGUCGGUCAUCAAGCAGCCCAAUAGUACUCUCUGUUUUCGUUUUCGAUUUCUUCAUCGAAUGUUACGAUUUCGGUGUGCUGCGAUUUUGUCUCUUUUGCUACUUGCAAUGGCACCAGCCAGCCACCACAUCGGGAGUUCGAGGCGUUCCUGAGUUUCAGGGGACCGACGCUCGGACAACUUGUACUGGUUGCUUCCGCAGUGCAAUGGUGGAGAAAGAAAUCCGUGUCAAAGACCACGAAGAGGUCCAAGUUGGUCAGAAGAUUGGUGGAAACGACACUGACAUCUAUAAGGAUUCUCUUACAAGGUCCGAGUUGGUAGAUUGCACUUCAAAGUCGGACGGGAGAGCAUCACUAUACAAUUUGGUUUUGAGCUUGACAUCAUCCGUCUCCAUGUUGAAUUUUGGAUCUGGAGACGGAUGAUGUCAAGCUUAAAAUCAAAUCCUGUUGCUCCUGUCUCUUCCCAGUAGAUACGAAAGGUAAAAAAACAAGUGGUUCGAGCACUCUUUGUGGGUAUUAGUAAUGACUUGACACUUGAAGAAUUAGCCUGUUUGCCAAAGCUAAGGUUUCUUGAAGUGGGAAGAAUUAAUUCCAUAGGCAACUUUAAAAAUCUUCUUCGUACUUUGAGAUGGCUUGCUUGGCAUCAUUGCCUGCAGCAUCUCUUAGCGAUGAAAUCUUCACCUGGUGUAUUUGGCCGUGCUCGACUUUUCGCGAAGCAACAUCACUGACUGACUGAGGUGGAUAGAGGCAAAUUGAGGUUAUAUAAGCUUUCGAACUCUAUUGGAGAGCUAGAAUCAUUGGUCCAGUUGGAUUUAGUCCAAUUCUAUUGGAAAUCUCAUGAGACUAAAAGCUCAUUAGGGUGCCACACACAAAGAUACACACGAUACCUUGUGCUUUUUGGGGGGUGGAGACGCUUAAAGUGCUCAAUGCCUCAUUCUGAGGAUCUUGGACUUAGAUGGGCCCCUAAUCUCCACAAUUCUAUCAUAGGUCAGUGGUUUCUCUAGUCUGCAAAUGCUUAAAAUUACAAGCCAAAGAGCUUCCCUCAAGUUUGAAAUAUCCACCGGUUGAAGCUGUUGGGUUCCCCAUUCUUCCCAACCUGUUAAGCCUAGAUCAAAGUGUGUGGAAGACAUCCAACUAUUGCAUUUUGGUGUGUGAAUGAUGUUAUUUCGCCUUGGAAGGACAGGCAGUCCAUCCAUCGGCUUCCAUGUAUCUUAUCAGCCUUGAAACUUGGCUGGAUCCUGCAAUUGCCAGAUUUUUGCUACUUCAAAAGCUUGUCGGUCCUCUCUGUCAGCAGAUGGCCAUUGCCACACUUACCCAUCCUUAUAUACUUGGAGAGUUUAAGGGAAUUGGAGAUAUCGUGGUGCGAAUUCCUGGAGAGCACAUGUGAUCUAUCUUGCUUGAAGAGGCUACAAAAAUUACAGCUCAGUGACUUACCCAAACUGGCGGAGAUUCCAGGUUUGGGGGAACUGGAAUUACUGAAGUUUCUACACAUUUUCAGGUAUAAUGCAAUCAAACGAUUGCCUAACCUGUCAAAGUUCAAAAUCUACAGCAUCCUAAGCUAGAUGGUUGUGAAAAGAUGAUAGCUGUCAAAGGCUUGAAAAGAGUUGAAUUUAUUGAAGAAGGUGGAGAUCGCACAUUGCCUACCCCCUGAAAAGCUUGCUUGAUGUGCUGGCUGGCAAUUGCGAUUUACAGCAUUGCAGGACAAAUAAGCCUGAAGCAGAAUGCAUCAUCUUGAAAAUGCAGGGACUUCCAAUGAAAGCACAUUGUGUACGGAUUUGAGCUCGUGCUUUAUAAGUUGGACGAGCACAAAAGGUGUGGAAGUGCAGCAUGGUCAAAAUCUGCAGGUGCGUUCUGAUUACAUCAAAGUAAAACAGAGGGUUUCAUUUCGGCUUUUGUUUGCUAACCUGUUGAACUGACCUGGAAAAGAGGCAGAGAAAGAGUUGGCAGCAGGUAUUCAGAAGGGCAUUUUGCUCAUCAAAAAGUGAACGAGUGGAUUGAAGAGAAAGACGUGGAUUUUUUGCGAGAAAAAAGAUGUACUCUACAUAAGCUUCUACUCAUCUCUCUACUCAAAAUUGGUUCCUUGCGCUAAUGAAUGUUUGUGCAUCAUUGUACUGUGCAUCUCGGCUGUGUUCAUGUUCGCAUCUCCCGACUUUCUGAUGCACCUUUAGAGUCUCCUCCAAGUGAACCUAUCCUGUGUGACGCUGCAACAAGCAAAUGGUAGACAGAAGGGGCCGAGUGAAGGCCGUAGUACUUCAGUGUUGGCGAGCAUUGAAAUUCAAGAUACGCGGACGAAGG